UGCAUGUGUAAGUUUAAAGACCAAGUAGGAUGAAACUGCGGACGGCUCAUUAUAACAGUAGUAGUUUCGUUGGUUAGUCGGUACAAGGUUAACUUUGUGAAUGAUAAAGCUAAUACUUGAGACGAUCCGGGAAGUAUCGAUACUUUGCGGCGCUCGGCAGCGAGGUUGGCGAUAAAUGACAUUCACUUGUGAAAAAGGAUGCCGCGACAAUUGAGGAAAGCGACGCUUUUAACAAGUAACCAAUGGGAAUUUCUGAUCUAUCAAUUUGUUGGUAGUAUCGAGGACUAGUAAUAUUAUAACGGAUAACGAGGAAUUGGGGUUCGACAUCGGAGAGGGAGCUUUACAGAUGGCUACCACUGCUAAGGAAGGCAGCAGGCUCGUAAAUUAGCCACUUUCGACCCGAAGAGGUAGUGACGACAAAUAACUCUUGGCGCCCCUCGGGGUGACUUGAAGGAAUGAUUUAGAAGUAAAUUCUCUAAAGAAAUCAAUUGGAGGGCAAGUCUGGUGCCAGCAGCCGCGGUAAUUCCAGCUCC
rnacentral:rRNA from 1 species